rnacentral:rRNA from 1 species
AGCGGAGGAAAAGAAACCAACAGGGAUUGCCUCAGUAACGGCGAGUGAAGCGGCAAAAGCUCAAAUUUGAAAUCUAGCACCUUCGGUGUUCGAGUUGUAAUUUGAAGAUGGUAACCUUGGGUUUGGCUCUUGUCUAUGUUCCUUGGAACAGGACGUCAUAGAGGGUGAGAAUCCCGUCUGAUGAGAUGCCCAUUCCUAUGUAAGGUGCUAUCGAAGAGUCGAGUUGUUUGGGAAUGCAGCUCUAAGUGGGUGGUAAAUUCCAUCUAAAGCUAAAUAUUGGCGAGAGACCGAUAGCGAACAAGUACAGUGAUGGAAAGAUGAAAAGAACUUUGAAAAGAGAGUGAAAAAGUACGUGAAAUUGUUGAAAGGGAAGGGCAUUAGAUCAGACUUGGUGUUUUACGAUUAUCUUCUCUUCUUGAGUUGUGCACUCGUAUUUCACUGGGCCAGCAUCGAUUCGGAUGGCAAGAUAAUGGCAGUUGAAUGUGGCUUCACUUCGGUGGAGUGUUAUAGCUUCUGCUGAUAUUGCCUGUCUGGAUCGAGGGCUGCGUCUUUGACUAGGAUGCUG